AUUCGGGGAUCGGGGAUCGGGGACCCUCGGGGAUCCCCUGUUAUUAUUCGGGAAGAGGAUGUGAAUUCUCUCAAGUAAUUCUGAUGGGGACGGGGAGAAGAUAGGGACAUACGCAAAAUAUUGGGGAUGAAUACGAGGAGAUCGGUCCCCUCCCCUCCCCUCCCCAUUGCCAUCCCUAUUGAGAACUAGGAAGUUAAUGGGCUCUUAUGUGGAUUUUAAAAUUUGAAAUUAAACACUACCCUUGAGAUACAUAUCGUUCCCAAUCUCUGGUCUCAUUUCUUUCCUUCUCACGAUGUUUGGGUCUUCAUUCUUUUACCUAGCCCAGGUAUACUUAUCACCUUUCUCUCUUUUUCUUUUUCUUUUCUUCAUUUUGUGGCUUUCAUGGAUCCAUUCAAAGUUGAGCAUAGCAAAUCAAGCAAAAGUAAAGGUUCAUGUAGAGGAGUCACCAAGAGUCUCACGCGUCGUUCCUCCUGUGUUUCUCCUCCUUCUACGACCACAAUUCAUGUUGCUGAUGAUAAGGACCAAGACGUCUCAAUAGAGGAGUUUUCAGCCAAUCGAUGGGAAUCUAAAGCCUCUCUUCACAUGAUCAACAAAUUGAGAAAGGAUUUUCAAAUUCCAAACUCCGUAAAGCUUACGAUUCUAAACCCUUACGAAAAUAUGGCAACAUCUCCAGAGGGCUCUGUAGCCCUUUACACUUCUAUGUUCAAAGUUAGGAUAAGGCACUACCCUUACACCCUUUUAUUUGUUUGUUUUUGUGAUCCUUCAACGUUGUCCCCGCUCAACUUAACCCUGUAGUUUAUAAGGCCCUUCUUGGUCAUUAUUUAAUCCGGAAACUUUCGGGAAACCAAUCUAACUUCUCUUUUGGUGAGUUUAAAAGAUUGUAUCAGAUCAAAUCAGUUGCCAAAGGAAGUGGUUGGUACUACUUGGCCGACUGGGCUCCCAUUGAUCCAAUUAUCACCCCUGAUUUCCUUGGUCAACUAAGGGUUGGAAAGAUUCUUAGUUUAGUUUCUAGCUUCUGAAAGCUGGUGUUCUAGUGACCCCAACACUAGCGAUUCUUUUUCCACUUUCUUUCAAACUCUAGGUUGAUUNNNNNNNNNNNNNNNNNNNNNNNNNNNNNNNNNNNNNNNNNNNNNNNNNNNNNNNNNNNNNNNNNNNNNNNNNNNNNNNNNNNNNNNNAAUUGCUUGGCAACAUUCAAUGUGGUCAAGUUAGCUUUUUGCAAUUUGAUGUGAUUUCUCUAUUCAGCAAGACUUUAUACCAAGAAUUUGGUCUCAUUCCUGUUGGUAUGUAUCGUACUAUUUUGCACUGUGACCAGUUUUAGUUUCUCUCCUUUUUGCUUCUUUACAUUUAUUUGGUGUUGAGGACGCACAGUUAUCAUGUCUCAAAUUGGUAGUAGAAAGAGAAUAAGGCUAACAAACUUACCUCCCGGGGAGUCCACCUCUCGAAAGCACGGCGCUACUCCUUCGACUCAAUCUCAGUGCUCGAAGCCCCCUCAAAUCAAUCUGUCCCUCAUGGCACCUUGCAAGCCGGGAAAAAAAACCCAACUGCCAACCAAUUUGAGAUCACCUGAGCACACUUUAGCUCUCAUGUUUGAUGAUUUGGCUAACUAGACUUUUUAGCAUAGCGAGCUCGAACAUGACCUAGCCACCUUUCGUCUUUGAAGAGGACAUUUUCUUACAAGAAUGUCUUCGUUCAAAGCAGACUGACCCAGAGGUCCUAUUCUCUGCCUUCAUAGGUAAUGCUCACAAGGUUGGCUUUAUGAUUCCCUCUUGGGUUUGUUGUUGCUCUCUUUAUUGCCUGACAUCGAUAAAAUUUCUUUAUUGAACAUUCAUAGGUCACUAUGAACAUGAUCCAAGCAUACAAUCUAUACCGAAAUUCAAAAGGUGAAUGUUCUAAAGCCAGAAGUGAGAAAAAUAUGGUUUCAGUGAAGUAAUCCAGCUAAGGACUGAGCUUGCAGCUCUCAAAUCCGUUCAUGAAUCUCUCAAAUUGGAGUAUAGCAUCAACAACGAUGUGAUCAAGAACAAAGAUGAAGAGCUAUCUCGCCUGAGGCAACAGCGUCAGAACAGUUAUUAGAGCCAUAUCAAAGCUUAUCUCCAAUUGGCUGAAUUUAAGCAAGUGAAGGAGGUGGAAUUCUUUGCUAGGGUUGAUGAUUGCAAGAAAGUGAUGAAGGACCACUAUCCUGAGUAGGAUUUGAAGUUCAUGGAUGAUUAUUAUUGUGAAGCCCCUCACGUGGACGAUUUUAACUUGCCUCCAGAGGACAAGUCAGCUAUAAAUAAUAUGUAAGAUACAUAUUUUUUUGGACAAAAUAAAAGAAAAAACAUUUCACAGGCACUUUUUUUUUUCAUCCUUUAGUUUAUCCUUAAAUUUAAUAUAGUCAAGAUAGAUAAAUAAAUAAUCAGUACUGUUAUUCUAUGAUAAGUAAACACAAAUUCCUUCAUUCACUUAAGAAAAUACACGCUAAGGACAAUGAUUCUCAAUUGAAAAAUUAUCAUUAUCAUUAUUAUUGUUGUUGUUGUUGUAUAUAAAAAUUUAAUUGACUUCAUUAAAAAAAUUUGAUGAACAAUACGUGUGCGAGUGCGCACGCGUUGCGUAUUCUUUAGUGUUAUUUUUAUUUUGUUAAAUUACCAUUAAAUUAUAAAUUUAUAUAAAAAUUCAGAUGUUAUUUAAUUGUUCUUGAAACUUUUAUUUUAAAAUGGUUUACAAUUAUUUAACUAAAAAUCUUAUUUUACCCUCAAUGAAUUAUAGAGUAAACUUAACUAUAAAUUUAUAGAUAGGUAUUUUGUACUAUUAUUUGAAAAAUAAGGAUAAAAUGGAUUAAAAAAAAUAAGACUGAAAUGUACUAUUGUAUCGAAUUUCAGGAGUAAAAAUGACUUUUUCCCUUUUUAUAAAUAGGAAAACGAGCUUAACAACUCAUCUUAAAAUUGUAACUCCAUCAUCGAUAUUAUUUUUCUUAAAAUUGUUGAUCGGAGAUAGCCGCUAAAAGGGGAGGACUUUGUUAGUAUAGAGAAUAAUUUUAUUUAUGAAUUCUAAUCUUCUAAGCUUGGAGUUUUUUGUUUUUUAUUUGAGUGACUCAAAUUUAAUUUAUUUAUUAUUGGCGUGGCGAGAUUUUCAUCGUUGCAUCUGUCUCGUUCUAAUAAGUUGCAGAACACACUCUUCUAGGCCAAUUUGAGUUGGAUCGGUGAGCGUGAGUGCUCUGUGAACUAAGGCCUUUCAGGGGUCCUCAAGUGUGCCGGCUUUAAGUUUCUUCCAUUCAAAUUUCACAUUACUGCUUCUCGCACGUGAAUCACAUAAGUCUGCCUUUUCAAUAAUAUUAAAACAAUAAUCAUUAAUUCAUCGUCAACAACAUCAUCACAAUAAUACAAGUCUACUCUUUUUGUAUCUUUCUUAAAAGAGGAUGAUGAUGAUGAUGAAAACUUACUUCGAGUACAUCAACCCCAAAAAUUAACUCAUAAAUAUUGAAAGUAUGUAA
rnacentral:lncRNA from 1 species